UCGGUCUCCCAGAGUGCUGGGAUUACAGGCGUGAGCCACCGCGCCCGGCCCACAAUGAGAUGAAUUCUGCAAACAACCUGAGGUGGCCUAGAAGUGGAUCAACCUUCCAGUCCCCAACUCCACCCUGGGUUGAGCCUCGAAUGAGGAUGUGCCCCUGACCAACAGCUGCAUUGCAGCCUGUGAGACCCAGGUAAGCCCUGCCUGGUCACGUAAUUCACAGGAACUGUGAGAUAAUAAAUGGAUGUUUUCAGCUGCUAAUUUUGUGGUAAAUAUUACAGGGGAGUAGGAAACUAAUACAGCUGCCAAAUCACAUAUGGAGCCAAAUUGCCAGCAAACGGAUUCUUUCUUCAUUGAUAUUCUCAUUUUCUUUUAUUUUAACGACUGAGUUUUUGGAUGUUAAGGAGGGUAUUUCCGAAGAGGCCAGUGUGGCUCACAGAUGGAUCGUUUUCCAGCCAUUGAAAGCUACCUUGGGGGAAGGAAACUACUUAGCCUCCUGUGUGCAAAAGAUCUGUGGUAACAGCAAGGGCCAACAGAGCACAUGUCAGAUGUGCUGACUGGUCCCAAGACAGCAGGCAACAUGAAACAAAAAAGAGAAGUUCAAGACCUCACUGACGACAACAAGCUGCAGCAACAGCUUCCCAGCUGAGUGACACCAAGCCCAUAAUGGAAACGUUACUCGUUUAGGGUCUCACCCUUGGAAGGUGCAGUGGAAAUGAAAAUUACAUUGAAAGCAGCUUUCCUUUUAUCAUGAUGAUAGACCCAAGACUAUAUGCAGCCUAAGAACGUGAAAGAACCCAUGAAUGGUGGUGAGCUCCACAGCUUACAGAAGUCCUAGUGGUGUUUAGCAGGAUGUUUUCCUAAAUCUUGAACAUGGCUUUGAGGAAUUCACAGUCUGACCUCCACUCACUUCUUCAAGCUCAUCUUUACAUCCCACCUCCUUAGCCACUCACACAUCAUUCUUCAUCCAGAUUUAUACACUUGUGGACCCUAAAAGUACCAUUUUCUCUCUAGCCCCUAUGUCUUUUUACUCAAGUAAACCUGAGUUUAAAAUGUCUUCACCCUCUCAUACCCCAUGCACUUCCAACUGCCUUUAGGUAACUCCCAUGCGACCUUCAGCUCUCAGCUCGAAUCUCAGUGCUACCAUCUUUUAAUUUAGGUUCCCUUCCUGUGCAGUUUCCUAGCACCCCUUAUGCUCACCCCCAUACCACUCUAUAGUGAUGGUAGAAAGCAGAGUUCAAAAAUGUGUCCAAGUACCACAGGUAUCAGAAUCAUCUCGAAAGCCUGUUAAAACUCAGAUUUCUAGGUUCCAUCUUGGUCUUACUGAAUUGAAAUCUCUGGUAAUGGGGCUGAGAGAUGUGUACUUUAAAUAAUUUUCCCAGCUAAUACCUAUGUAUUCUAACUUCAGAAACACUAGAGUGGGAAAUAUAUUCUUAGGAAGGAUAAAAACACAGAUUGAGGCUACUUUUCCUUUCUUAAAAUAUCAAUAAAAUAAGGGGUAAAGACUAAAAAAAAAUGUUUUAAAAGUGGACUAUAGACUUUACAUGGGAGUAGAACCGUCGACAUGUCUGAAGGUCACAACUCUCUAGGUGGUUUUCCUUUUCUAGUCUAAAAAAUGAAAUCAUGUCCUACACAUGUCAUUCCAUUCCUCCCUACAGGAAAUAGAGUAAUGGCUCUGCUAAAAAAGACCAGAGUUAAAGUGUGUGUGUGUAUUCAAGAGAAGUACCUUUAGAAGAGA
rnacentral:lncRNA from 1 species